UGUCACAACAGACUGGAGCUGUUUGCUUUACUGCAGUGAUGAACGGCAACAUGCUGACCUUUGCCCUGUUGGGUUUUCUUCUCGUCUGGAUGCUGCCUGCAG